rnacentral:tRNA from 1 species
GCCCAGGUAGCUCAGUCGGUAGAGCAAAGGACUGAAAAUCCUUGUGUCGGUGGUUCGAUUCCGCCCCUGGGCA